UCAAAGAUCUCAAAUGAGGUAGGAUUACCCGCUGAAUUUAAGCAUAUAAUUAAGCGGAGGAAAAGAAACUAACAAGGAUUCCCUCAGUAACGGCGAGUGAAGCGGGAAGAGCUCAAACCGAAAAUCACUGCCGCCCCGGCAGCGAAUUGUGGUCUAGGGAGGCGUGUCUCAGUGUUCGACCCCGGCCUAAGUCCGUUGGAAGGCGGCAUCAGAGAGGGUGACAAUCCCGUCUUUGGCUGGUGUGCGUCGGCGCGUUCGAGCCGUCCUCUAAGAGUCGGGUUGCUUGGGAGUGCAGCCCUAAGUGGGUGGUAAAUUUCAUCUAAAGCUAAAUACCUGUGAGAGACCGAUAGCGAACAAGUACCGUGAGGGAAAGAUGAAAAGAACUUUGAAAAGAGAGUCAAACAGUACUUGAAAUUGCUGAGAACGAAGGUAUGGCGACUAGUACUGGCGCCGAACGCUAGCCGGCUGUGCUGUCUGCCGCGGCGUCCGCCGGAUUGCAAUGCUUCCGCGGGCGCUCGCGUCGACGGGCAGUGCGCUGGCCCAUGUCGUUCGGGUUGGCCUAGGUCAGAAUGGGUUCGCGGCGGCCGACAAAGGCGCCGGCAAGGUUCGAGCGCGCCCGUCGCGCUCGGCUUAUAGGCCGGCGUCCAGAUCGCCGCUGUCGCGGACCGAGGUGUCGAAACGUGCGCUCUCAGCUGUUGGUGUCGGUGUCGCUGCGUGCGCGGGCGCGCCCGGGGAGCAAAGCUCCGCGGCGUGUCCCGCGUCGUACGCCGGUGCCUGACCCAUUCCCGUUCACGUUCGCGAUUCUGACGAAAUGGUCGUCAUUCACCCGUCUUGAAACACGGACCAAGGAGUCUUACAUAUAUGCGAGUAAUCAAGUGGGAAACUUGUUUGCGCAAUGAAGGUGACUGUGAUGUGAUGCUCGUCGCGUGCGGGCAGCAACAUCGGGCGGCUAAAACAACUGUACGACCAGGAGCAUAUCUGUAGGGACCCGAAAGAUGGUGAACUAUGCUUGAGCAGGAUGAAGCCAGGGGAAACUCUGGUGGAAGUCCGAAGCGAUACUGACGUGCAAAUCGUUCGUCUGACUUGAGUAUAGGGGCGAAAGACUAAUCGAACUAUCUAGUAGCUGGUUCCCUCCGAAGUUUCCCUCAGGAUAGCUGGAAUUCACAGACGAGUUUUAUCAGGUAAAGCUAAUGAUUAGAGGCCUUUGGGGCAAAAUGCUCUGAACCUAUUCUCAAACUUUAAAUGGGUAAGAAAUGGGGCGUUGCUUCGGUGAACCUCCAUGGAAAUCGCGAAUUCUUAGUGGGCCAUUUUUGGUAAGCAGAACUGGCGAUGCGGGAUGAACCGGACGUCCGGUUAAGGUGCCAAAGUGCUCGCUCAUGUAGAUCCCAUGAAAGGUGUUGGUUCAUCCAGACAGCAGGACGGUGGCCAUGGAAGUCGGAAUCCGCUAAGGAGUGUGUAACAACUCACCUGCCGAAUGAACUAGCCCUGAAAAUGGAUGGCGCUCAAGCGGGCCACCGAUACCGGACCAUUUCUGCGAGUGCCUAUGCAGAAAUGAGUAGGAGGGCGUGGAGGUCAUUAGCGACGAAGCUCUUGGCGUGAGCCUGAGUGAAGCGGCCUCUAGUGCAGAUCUUGGUGGUAGUAGCAAAUAUUCAAAUGAGAACUUUGAAGACUGAAGUGGAGAAAGGUUCCGUGUGAACAGCAUUUGGACACGGGUUAGUCGAUCCUGAGAGCUCUCUUCAACGACAUUGAACAGGCCGACUUUGCUGCUCGGCAACGCUCGAAAGGGAAUCAGGUUCAUAUUCCUGAACCAGGACGUGGAUAUUGUAUGGCAACAUAAGAGAAGUCGGAGACGUCGGCGCGAGCCCUGGGAAGAGUUUUCUUUUCUUUUUAACAUUGAUUCUCCCGCUGGGCCCUGGAAUCUGAUUAUCAGGAGAGAGGGCCACGGGGAUGGGAAAGCACCCAACCUCUUGGGUGUCCGGUGCGCUCGCGACGACCCUUGAAAAUCCGACGGACAGACUUAUUCGCACCCCUGGUCGUACUCAUAACCGCAUCAGGUCUCCUAGGUGAGCAGCCUCUAGUCGAUAGAACAAUGUAGGUAAGGGAAGUCGGCAAAUUAGGUCCGUAACUUCGGGAAAAGGACUGGCUCUAAGGGUUGGGUGACGCUGGGUCCGCUUGUUGAUGCGGUCGCGGGGCAUGCGCUGUGGGUGCCGCAAGGUGCACGCGCGCGCGCCCCUGGCCGUUGAUCGGGCGGAUUCGGGCCCGGGCGUUUCGGCGCCCGGCCCGAUGCCCCUCUCACGAUUAACAACCGACUUAGAACUGGAGCGGACAAGGGGAAUCCGACUGUUUAAUUAAAACAAAGCAUUGCGAUGGUCGAAAUCGAUGUUGACGCAAUGUGAUUUCUGCCCAGUGCUCUGAAUGUCAAAGUGAAGAAAUUCAACCAAGCGCGGGUAAACGGCGGGAGUAACUAUGACUCUCUUAACACAUAGACGUGUAUGUGUGUGGACCAAAGAGCACGCUGCCUUUGGAGGGUCACAAUAGCGGCGCGAAAGCGAAUGCGAAUGACCGCUAGUGCGUCCGUCGUCAGCCUCUCUCUGUUGUUGCUGGACGGACGCGCGACACCAUCAAAUUGCGGGGACACCCUGAUAGCCUUGUCUACCAAGUCGCCUGCGGAAACGCACUGGCGAUGGCCGAGUUAAUCGCCCUGGGUACGGUAACAACGACAAGGAUGUGUGUGUUAUGGGCAAUCCGCAGCCAAGUCCUACGUCGAACCGCGCACGUUCGAUACGGAUGCUGUCCAUCGACUAAAUGGUGGUGGGUGAUCGCGCCACACGCGAUUGCUUAAGAUAUAGUCAGGCCCUGGUGAGAGCCAGCUGCAUUUAUAAGAGGGGGCGCCCACGAGAGAGGGACGCUCGCCUCGAAGCUUGCAGGAGGGUGGUGCCACUGUAUGUGUGUGCGCCCUUGGAGUUCGAAC
rnacentral:rRNA from 1 species